UUAUACCAUCUUGUGUUCCACAGAGAACUGUAUAGUGUAAGCGCAUGAAAUCUGCCCCUUCCCUCAAUGUGGAGGAAGAUAUGCAACAGCUUUCUACCCCCAGUUAUGAUUUCCACACACUGGUUUUAGACAAAACAAAACCAAGUUUAUUACCUACAAAAGGUAAAUUUUAAGUGAUUAUAAAGGAUAGCAAACAGAUCAAAGCAGAUUACCUAGCAAAUAAAACAGAAACAUACUCUAAGCUUAAUAUACUAAAGAAAUCAGAUAUGAGUAGCAAAUUAUCACCCUAAUUGUAGAGGGAAGAGUAACCA